AUUGAACGCUGGCGGCAGGCCUAACACAUGCAAGUCGAGCGGAUGAAGGGAGCUUGCUCCUGGAUUCAGCGGCGGACGGGUGAGUAAUGCCUAGGAAUCUGCCUGGUCUUGGUGGAUAACGUCCGGAAACGGGCGCUAAUACCGCAUACGUCCUGAGGGAGAAAGUGGUGGAUCUUCUGACCUCACGCUAUCAGAUGAGCCUAGGUCGGAUUAGCUAGUUGGUGGGGUAAAGGCCUACCAAGGCGACGAUCCGUAACUGGUCUGAGAGGAUGAUCAGUCACACUGGAACUGAGACACGGUCCAGACUACUAAGGGAGGCAGCAGUGGGGAAUAUUGGACAAUGGGCGAAAGCCUGAUCCAGCCAUGCAGCGUGUGUGAAGAAGGUCUUCGGAUUGUAAAGCACUUUAAGUUGGGAGGAAGGGCAGUAAGUUAAUAACUUGCUGUUUUGACGGUACCAACAGAAUAAGCACCGGCUAACUUCGUG
rnacentral:rRNA from 1 species